rnacentral:RNase_P_RNA from 2 species
CCAGUCGGCCGGGCGGCCGCUGCACCGGCCGCGCCGGUGCAGAGGAAAGUCCGGGCUCCUAGGAAACACGGUGCCGGAUAACGUCCGGCGGGGGUGACCCCAGGGACAGUGCCACAGAAAGCAAACCGCCUUUCGAAGCCUUUGGCGCAGAAGGGCAAGGGUGAAAGGGUGCGGUAAGAGCGCACCGCGUCGGCGGCAACGUCGACGGCACGGCAAACCCCACCGGGAGCAAGACCGAAUAGGGACGACGGGGCGCGCAAGCGCCCGGGCCUGUUUCCAGCCUUGUCGUCCGGGUUGGUUGCUCGAGGCGGUCGGUAACGACCGUCCCAGAUGAAUGGCCGUCACGUCCGGGGCGACCCGGGCCAUACAGAACCCGGCUUACAGGCCGGCUGGCACC